UCCAGUACAGCUCCCUUAGUACUCUAUUUGAGUGGAAAGGGGCAAUCAAAAUUUAGCCACCAAGCUUAUCAUACAAAAGAAAAGAAAGACCACUCUGUAUCAUCAAUACAAGCAAUACAUGAUUAAAUAAUAAUAUUUUAUUUAAUCAGAGCCACUCCAGAUUGUUUACUCAAUGAUAGCAACAAGUCUACUGAAUUACAGCCUUGUCCUAUCCACAUUGCCUGCAUAACUUGUCAUGAGGUCCUUUGAUGUACCGACAACAAGGGAAUCCUCAUGAGCCUCAGGCUUGUGCUGCUCACCUGGCUUGUCUUGUGACUUGUCUCCCCAUUCACAUUACUCACGAACAAAUCAGUUAAGUACAAACAUGAGUAAUGUGGACCCAGCUUUAGAAGACAUCUUCAUUCAAUUGGGAUUGCAGAUAGUUGCAAUUAUGGAUACUGGAGAGGAGAAGAAACUCCUCUUCAUGUUUUAUGUGAAUGUGUAGCCAUUUCACAGCUAAAGAAUGAUUUUCUAAGAUUGCAUUUUUCUGCACCAGACAAUCUUUUUGCAAUCUCAUUGAAGAAGCUAGCAUCUUUUUUGUGUGUAAGAUGGGAUUUCUUAUAUGAUGAUCCUGUUUUACGGGUAUACAAUAGAUCACUGAGUGAGUGCUAAGGUUGUUUAAAGCCUCUCAUUCCUAAUAUUAUUAUUAUGCAUCUAUAUAUUUCUCUGCAUUAUUCAACAUUCUUUAACAUUGUCAUUUCAUAGAAGAAUAUUUUUAGAUUUUUUCACAUUCUGUUCUCUUCAUAUACAUACAUUAUGAUUCAAUCUUCAGUCAUUCUUCUAACUUAUCCAAAUUAUCUUAAUUUCAGUAUUGCUGAAAUUGUAUUCAAACAUCCUUUUUUAUAUAUUCUAAUAAUGAAAUAUGAUGAACUUUAUAAAAUUUCUCUUUUGCUUUAUUUUAAGUAUCUUCCACAUUCUCUUUCUUUAGAUUCAUUUUUAAAUAUAUUAAUAGAUGCUUUGUAUCUGUUGUUAAUUAUUCUGAUUACUCUUUUCUUUCAUUUCUUUCUUUUUUUUUUUGAGUUCAUUUUCCCAAGAUCUUUUAUAUAUAAACAGUGAUCAAUCUCC
rnacentral:lncRNA from 1 species